rnacentral:antisense_RNA from 1 species
GUCUAUGUUCCUCGUAAGUACUAGACGAUUUAGAAGCCCUGACUGUUCCACCAGUUGGGGCUUCGCCG